rnacentral:rRNA from 1 species
AUACUGGUUGAUCCUGCCAGAGGUUACUGCUAUCGGGGUCCGACUAAGCCAUGCGAGUUGAAUGUCCGAAAGGGCAUAGCGCACUGCUCAGUAACACGUGGACAACCUGCCCUGGGGACUGGAAUAAUCCCGGGAAACUGGGGGUAAUUCCAGAUAUGCCAGGAUACCUGGAAUGGUUUCUGGCAGAAAGGCUCUGGCGCCUCAGGAUGGGUCUGCGGCCUAUCAGGGUAGUAGUGGGUGUAACGUACCUACUAGCC